rnacentral:lncRNA from 1 species
AUAAACCUCUCCCACCCUCCUUGGCGGAAAGGCUCCAAGCCAGCGGGGUUCUGGUCGCUCCCGGCCCGGGGCUCAGGCGAUCCUGCUGCAGAACUCGUCGAAGUCCCUCUCCAUGAAGAGCUCGCUCUCGAUCACAUCGUCCUCCGAGGGGAAGUACUGCUGGCUCUCCUCCUCCGGGGAGCCCGCGGCUGCGUGGCCGCAGGCCCCGGCCCGGGCUGGCGGGGAGCGGGCGGCGGGCCCGGGCUCCCCCGCGCACUCCAUCAGCGCCCCGCGGGCGUUCUCCAGCACCCCCAGGUACGAGUCCAUGUCCAGCGCGUCCAUCUCGCAGUCCGACCCGCCGCUCUCGGUGCCCACCGAGUCCGAGCGCAGGUGCAUGAGCUGGUACUUCUCCCGCAUCAGGAACUGGUUGGUGUUGCGGGGCGCCCGCAUGCCCGGCGCCCGCCGGCCCAGCACAUUGACGGGCCGCAGGGAGAGCAGCACCCGCGGGCGCGCCGGGCGGUGGCAGCGCCGGAAGGCGCGGCAGUGCUGCUGCUGCAGCUGCUGGUGCUGGUAGUGCUGGAAGUGGCUCUGCGUGCGGCUGCCCAGGAGCUUCCGCGCCCCGCCGGGGACCCUCCCGCGCCGCCCGGGCGGCCAGCGGGAGCGGCUGCCGCCCCGCCGGGGCUCGCCGCCCUUGAGCGGCGUCGGGGAGGCGCCCCCCGGCACCCCCUCGGCCCGGGCGGGCUCCCAGGGCGGGCACACGAUGAACUCCGCGCGUCGCAGCAUCGCGGCCCCCCGGCCUCUCACAUGCUCCGAGCCGCCGGGACGCCCCCGCCGCGCUGCUCCUGCGCCGUCGCCUCUCCGGCGCGUCCUCCGCUUCUCUCCGGGCUGAGCGGCCGCUUCCCAAGAGCCCUGCUGGGGCCUCUGUGGGCGCCUCUACCUUUUCACGAUCCGCUCUGUUUUUUUCUUGAGCGGAGCCCGUCGGCAGCGCAUAGCCUGGCUGAACGGCUGCGGGCUGCGGGGCAGCUUGACGGGUUCCAAGCCGCCUCUUCGGAGAUGGUCUCGCCUACUACCCGGCCGGGCGCUGCCGGGCUGUCAGCGCUGCGACGGGCACGGUGGGCCGGGGCAGGGCCCGGGAGCGAAGCGAGCGAAGGGAGGGGAAGGCGCCGGGAUUCAGUAACCGCACACUGA